rnacentral:rRNA from 1 species
AUACGGAGGGUGCAAGCGUUACUCGGAAUCACUGGGCGUAAAGCGCGCGCAGGCGGCUUGGUAAGUUGGAUGUGAAAGCCUACGGCUCAACCGUAGAACUGCAUCCAAAACUGUCAAGCUAGAGUGUGCGAGAGGAAGAUGGAAUUAGUUGUGUAGGGGUAAAAUCCGUAGAGAUAACUAGGAAUACCAAAAGCGAAGGCAAUCUUCUGGAACACUACUGACGCUGAGGCGCGAAAGCGUGGGGAGCAAACAGAAUUAGAUACCCUAGUAGUCC